rnacentral:ncRNA from 1 species
CAUUCGGUUCACCUCUUGCAGCGUGAUUAAAAGGGAAUCGGGUGAAAAUCCCGAACUGUCCCGCAGCUGUGAGCCGCCAUUAUGGUAACAAGCGAUGUGCCACUGGAGGAAUCGUUUACGGUUUACAGUUUACAGAGAUCUGGGAAGGUGCUUGUUGCCGGCGGCGAAGUCAGAAGACCUGCCGAAGAGCC